AGCCUCAUUCUAGAUGAGAAUGGGCACUGUUGAUCAGUGUUCAGAAUUGGUCAAUGUGGCUAAAUUGACACAGGUUAUGCUUCCAUCACAGUAUCUAUCUUGCAGUGGUGACAAUGAGACCUGUAACAUUU
ensembl:snoRNA